UACGUAGGUGGCAAGCGUUAUCCGGAAUUAUUGGGCGUAAAGCGCGCGCAGGUGGUUCUUUAAGUCUGAUGUGAAAGCCCCCGGCUCAACCGGGGAGGGUCAUUGGAAACUGGGGAACUUGAGUAUAGAAGAGGAAAGUGGAAUUCCAGGUGUAGCGGUGAAAUGCGUAGAUAUCUGGAGGAAUACCGGUGGCGAAGGCGGCAUCCUGGACCGACAUUGACGCUGAGGAGCGAAAGCCAGGGGAGCAAACGGG
rnacentral:rRNA from 1 species